AAUACACAUCCCUACUAACGAUUGGUAUAUGUUACUGUGCGCUAUCGGUAACUCAGACAAUUGUCAUCCCUGGCAAACGUGAAAAACUAUCAGUCAUUAUUUCAAUUUUCGCCGUGCAGAUAACAACAAUAAAGGUUUUUACAUAUGGUACACCUAAUUGCGCAGAGAGAGCAGAGAAACCGAUUCACAGUGGUGGUACUUUGCGAACCACCAGUGGAGGUGGAGGUAUCGUGCUGGGAAUAACCGGCGAAGAUGGUGAUAGCUCGGCCGAUAAACACCCGCAUGAUCUGGUGAACGAUUAAAUGUGAUAAGUGUCAGCAAUACUUGCAAGGUAAUCUCAUAGUGCAUCGGCAGUGCUCGGCCACGGGACUAGAACCGUGCGCAGCGGAAACUGGCACUAGGACGGUAACGUUGACUAGCCGUAGUCACCAGGCCUUUGGACUUAGUCUUUGCUAGCAGUUUAGCGUGGCCGAGCUGUCGGCGAUGCAGAUUGUCAUAAUAGUUUGCAACGAGCUCGACUAGAAAGCGAUGUGUAACUUGAACCUGGAUCUGUACAAGAUGUAUCGGACGACGUCACCGAACUACGACGAGGUUAACAAACUGCGUGAUUCACUCAACGAAAAUCUAAUCAACACCGAUCUGAGCAGCUACUCACCGGAGUGUGUAGCCAUGGUUCUUACGGGAGCUGCCCAAUCCGAUCAUUCCGAUUAUGUUUUACGAUAAAUUCGUCGUAAGUCUUAAAAAUUACCAGUGAUGCGUAGCUAUUCGAUAUCCAGGAUCUGCCAAUUUACCACAACAUGACGCUCAAGUAUAUUGUGAUUCAUCUAAUACGAAUAUGCCAAAUGUAGUACCAGCGGGAACUGGAAGAGGAACCGACAAUACUGAUACAAGUGUGGUGCCAUAUUCUAAUGUAUCCUCCUUGGGAGAAAAUUGUUCAAAUCGUGUAUUACACGGAAUGCCACUUGCGAAUAAUGGAACUAUUGCUCUAUAAGCUGGACUGGAACGAAAAACUACCAGAAACUUCCGUCUGCUCCUACGGUACCACCACGGAAAAUCUCCCGAAGUACGGCUGUGUUACAGCAGCAGCAGCAGCAACAACAAAUACCCGGUUCAUUCACUGUUUUACCAACAGCAUAGGCUUCUCCAAAAAGCCUGCGAUCUCAUUCCCGGCAUCUGUGAUACAAGCGCCCUUGAUUGGGGUGUAUAAUAAUACCGGUAGGAAUAUUGAUAAUGGAACACUGGCUGCUGAAAGUCGGGGGUUAGCGUUGAUGAUGCAAACACACCAGCUGACCUGAUGGAUCAAAUCUACCGAUUCCUUCCUCGAGUUCGAAUUUUAUUUUGAUUGAUUACAAUUAAAAAAAAGUUUGUUUUCAUUACAAUGGAAAAGAAAUUAUUACGAUUCUAUGUCUGAUCAAAAUACCAUUGAACCGACGUUGGACUGACAAAUGGGCCCGUGUUGAACAAAUUACAUAUACAUUUAGGGUAUAUGUUAAACCAACGUUGAACCAACC